rnacentral:lncRNA from 1 species
AGGAUCAGGUUAAGGCCACUUAUACAAUACAUAGAUUUUACCAUGGCUCACAGGCCAUCUAUACAGGAGCUGCUCUCUGACCCUGGGGAGCUGGAGGGUUCUGACUGGCUUCCUGAAAAAGCAGGCAGAGGAACCAGGAGAAACCUCAUGGGGGAAACCACAACAUGUGAGGAGCACAAAAGGGACUCAGAGGAGUCCUUGAAGCUGGAAGACCCACGGAGGUGAAAGAGGAGAGCUUCUUCCAGCCUGUGUCUAUCACUCCCACCACCAGGGUAUUCCCAGGGCAGAGCAGAGCUGCUGAGUGAGGGGUCUUGCAGGGAGGUCACCCCAGAGGAGAAGCUGCUGCUGGAAAACUCUGCACAGCUCCAGGCAGCUCGUGUGGAAGCUGAGAGUGUGCUGAAUUCCUCAGUUCCCACACUGAAAUGAUGCCACGAGCUUGCCACGUUUUCCUGCAGCACCUUCAGCAAGGAGAGAGGGGAAGUGAGGAGUUUGCAGGAUAAAAUUCUGUCUGUUCAUGUUCAAAGUGACCUCUCUGACCUGGCACAUCUCAUUUCACCUCAGCUAAACAAAUCCCCUUAUCUCAUAUCUCCCACUAUUCCAACUGCUGUCUCUUCCUGCUGCAUCUUGAUAUUUCGUCAAAAAUUUUGUCUUUUUCCUGACUUGAGUAAAAAAAGCAACUCUUGAGGUUGGCCUGGCACUUGGUGUCCUGCUGCCUCUGGUGGGUUACUAACUCCAAAGAUUGUCCCUUGCUUUCCCCCAGGGCCUGCAGGACCUCACAGAGCAGGAGGUGCUCCUGAAGAUUCCCAGCACUGCUGCCUCCCUGAGGAAUGAGUCGUCCCAGGAGAACCAGAACCCCUUUGGGAGGACGAGGAAGGGGAUGCUGAGCAGAAACAUCAGCUUCUUUUCAGGCUGCACCCCCACCAAGGAGUAGUUUACCUGUCCUGGAGCUUUUCCCAUCCCUUUAGGACACACUCCUGGUGACUUUUGAGGGAGUUGGAUUCUCCUCCUGGAGCAGCAGCUCCUGCCCUCAGCAAGGGAGCCAAACUGCUUCUUUCUUUGUUAUGUCUCUGUAAAUAUUUGUGUGUUGGGGCCAGGUGGGGGUUAAGAAUUUUUCCUCUGAAAUUCCUGGAGUGAAUGGAGGUGAUUUUCCAGGUGGG